UAAAUCAAAGCUUCGUAAAUUUUUUGGGAGGAAGGGAGGCCGGGGCGCAGGUUGGCCUCCAACAGGCUCCGCCAGUGGCGGCAGGGACGGGGACGCUGCCGCUGCCGCUGCCGUUGCCGUUGUGGCGCCAUCCGCGAAGGCGGCGGGGAGGUAGGACAUACCGCGCCAAAUCUAGCGGUGGGUGAUUCCAGCACCUAGGCCAAAUCCAACACUCCCACCUCCAAAUCGCCCUCUUUUAACCUACCAGAUCAUCUUUCCCCGCCCUUCCUUCCGGUUCUGAUCCUCGCCGAUGGAGACGGCGGAGGAGGCAAGCACAGUAUGUCGUGGCACAGGAAAACAGGUCGACGGCAGCGGCACACCCUAGCGGAUCUGUGAUUCAUCUCCUGCGUUGCCACGUGCUCUGGCACUUGCUCCAUCGCUAUCCCAGCAACAGCAAGCUGCAAGAUGGUGGCUCGGAUGUGAAGACAGAAGUGGUAAUCCAUGGUGAAAACUGCACAUUUAAUUUUGUUGCGUGCGGCGGUGACCGGCGCCGUCCUGGCUCAGAGAUGGCGAUGGUGGCCGAAGUGGCGACGACGAUGGUUUGGCAUCGCACUUGCUGGGCUGGACAUGGACGACGGGGACGGAGCGGGAGGUGGUUGGUGGGGUUGGAGGGUGUCCCGUUGGAGCGGGAGCAUGCGGGCUAGAGCGAGAAGUGGCCGAAGAAGCGGUUCUUGGAGAAGGGGUUUCCGACGCAGACGUUGCCCAUCGGGCGGGCUGUGGCGGCGACGGUGAUCAGAGCCUCAUGAUGCUGUUGUUCCUCUUCAACACAAGAAACAUCCUCCACUGCGGCGGAAAGCGCAUGGCACUGCCGGGGGAUGAUCAGAGGUGGGGAUUGGGUGGUGGUCGUGGUUUGUCGGAAGGGAUCCGGGACAAUUGCGGAGCGAAAUGAGGAGCUAAAAAUGUUUUGUUGUGUGCAUGAUGUAUGUUAUGAAGUAAUUUCUGAAUGUGGUUGUGUAGCCAUGGUUUGGUCUGAAAUAAUAUAAUGACUUUGUAUGUCUUAAAUUUAUCCGUAGCGUUAGCACGGGCAUACUUACUAGUGUA